rnacentral:rRNA from 1 species
UGGGGAAUUUUGGACAAUGGGCGCAAGCCUGAUCCAGCCAUGCCGCGUGAGUGAAGAAGGCCUUCGGGUUGUAAAGCUCUUUCGGACGGAAAGAAAUCGCCUGGGCUAAUACCCUGGGUGGAUGACGGUACCGUAAGAAGAAGCACCGGCUAACUACGUGCCAGCAGCCGCGGUAAUACGUAGGGUGCGAGCGUUAAUCGGAAUUACUGGGCGUAAAGCGUGCGCAGGCGGUGAUUUAAGUCAGAUGUGAAAGCCCCGGGCUUAACCUGGGAACUGCGUUUGAAACUGGAUCGCUAGAGUUUGGCAGAGGGGGUAGAAUUCCACGUGUAGCAGUGAAAUGCGUAGAGAUGUGGAGGAACACCGAUGGCGAAGGCAGCCCCCUGGGCUAGAACUGACGCUCAUGCACGAAAGCGUGGGGAGCAAACAGGAUUAGAUACCCUGGUAGUCCACGCCCUAAACGAUGUCAACUGGUUGUCGGGGAAGGAGACUUCCUUGGUAACGUAGCUAACGCGCGAAGUUGACC